AAAGUUGCGUUUUGAACUUUUAUAAAAAACUGAAGACAAAACGCACAACGAAAAUGGACCCUCAGCGGUCCAUAAAUCAAAACGCGCUAUGCGCGUUUUGUUAUAUUACCGUUGCAAUCAUUGAAAGACCGAAAUACCCACACGUUUGACGCCCCUCAUCUCUCAUCUCUGCUCUCCCUUCGCAUUUGACACCUCCAUCUCUUCUCUCUGCCUUGCUCUGCCUUCGUACCAAAAACACUGAUCUGCUACCAAAAACCAGUUUAGAGCAGAUUAUGGCAACCAAUGGAGUGGGGCAUACUAUGGAGGGCAGCUUUAUGAUGGUUAUGGAUAUGCUUUGCCACCACCUUAUGACCCAAGCAUGUAUGCUGCACCAUUUGCUGCAUAUGGAGCUUACCCCAUUUAUGGAAACCAACAACAAGUGAGCUGAAGGAAUUGCACGAGUAGUUCUAGAAAUUAGACAAUAUCACGCUUAACUGGGCGAAAUUUCUUCAUUUCUCUGUAAGUUGAGUGGUUCUGUAGAAUUCUUAAGAAAAUCCCUCCAAAUGUGGAGUGGAACUGAAUUUUGACAGACUGAACUAAUUUUGUAGGGAUUUGACUAAUGAUUUAUUUACAAA